UACAGAGGAUGCAAGCGUUAUCCGGAAUGAUUGGGCGUAAAGAGCGUGUAGGCGGCUUGGUAGGUCCGCUGUGAAAACUCGAGGCUCAACCUCGAGAUGUCGGCGGAAACCACUUGGCUAGAGUCCGGAAGAGGAGAGUGGAAUUCCUGGUGUAGCGGUGAAAUGCGCAGAUAUCAGGAAGAACACCUAUGGCGAAGGCAGCUCUCUGGGACGGUACUGACGCUGAGACGCGAAAGCGUGGGGAGCGAACAGG
rnacentral:rRNA from 1 species